rnacentral:rRNA from 1 species
UACAGAGGUCUCAACCGUUGUUCGGAUUCAUUGGGCGUAAAGGGUGCGUAGGCGGCGGGGUAAGUCAGGUGUGAAAUCUCGGGGCUCAACCCCGAAACUGCACUUGAUACUGCCUCGCUUGAGUACUGGAGAGGAGACUGGAAUUUACGGUGUAGCAGUGAAAUGCGUAGAUAUCGUGAGGAAGACCAGUGGCGAAGGCGGGUCUCUGGACAGUUCCUGACGCUGAGGCGCGAAGGCCAGGGGAGCAAACGGG